rnacentral:rRNA from 1 species
CCUAAGCUGAGGCCGACAGGCGUAGGCGAUGGAUAACAGGUUGAUAUUCCUGUACCACCUAUAAUCGUUUUAAUCGAUGGGGGGACGCAGUAGGAUAGGCGAAGCGUGCGAUUGGAUUGCACGUCUAAGCAGUAAGGCUGAGUAUUAGGCAAAUCCGGUACUCAUUAAGGCUGAGCUGUGAUGGGGAGAAGACAUUGUGUCUUCGAGUCGUUGAUUUCACACUGCCGAGAAAAGCCUCUAGAUAGAAAAUAGGUGCCCGUACCGCAAACCGACACAGGUAGUCAAGAUGAGAAUUCUAAGGUGAGCGAGCGAACUCUCGUUAAGGAACUCGGCAAAAUGACCCCGUAACUUCGGGAGAAGGGGUGCUCUUUAGGGUUAACGCCCAGAAGAGCCGCAGUGAAUAGGCCCAAGCGACUGUUUAUCAAAAACACAGGUCUCUGCUAAACCGUAAGGUGAUGUAUAGGGGCUGACGCCUGCCCGGUGCUGGAAGGUUAAGAGGAGUGGUUAGCUUCUGCGAAGCUACGAAUCGAAGCCCCAGUAAACGGCGGCCGUAACUAUAACGGUCCUAAGGUAGCGAAAUUCCUUGUCGGGUAAGUUCCGACCCGCACGAAAGGCGUAACGAUU